UGGGGGAUAUUGCACAAUGGGCGAAAGCCUGAUGCAGCGACGCCGCGUGGGGGAUGAAGGCUUUCGGGUUGUAAACCUCUUUCGCUAUCGAACAAGGCCCGCUUAGGGUGGGUUGAGGGUAGGUGGAGAAGAAGCGCCGGCUAACUACGUGCCAGCAGCCGCGGUAAUACGUAGGGCGCGAGCGUUGUCCGGAAUUAUUGGGCGUAAAGGGCUUGUAGGCGGCUUGUUGCGCCUGCUGUGAAAACGCGGGGCUUAACUUCGCGCGUGCAGUGGGUACGGGCAGGCUUGAGUGUGGUAGGGGUGACUGGAAUUCCAGGUGUAGCGGUGGAAUGCGCAGAUAUGUGGAGGAACACCGAUGGCGAAGGCAGGUCACUGGGCCAUUACUGACGCUGAGGAGCGAAAGCAUGGGUAGCGAACAGG
rnacentral:rRNA from 1 species